AGAAUCAACGCUGGCGGCGUGCCUAACACAUGCAAGUCGCACGAGAAAGGGGAGCAAUCCCUGAGUACAGUGGCGCACGGGUGAGUAACACGUGAAUAAUCUACCUCCGAGUGGGGAAGUAAACUGAGAGAAAUCUUAGCUAAUACCGCAUAACACUUACGAGUCAAAGCAGCAAUGCGCUUGGAGAGGAGUUCGCGGCCGAUUAGUUAGUUGGCGGGGUAAUGGCCCACCAAGACGAUGAUCGGUA
rnacentral:rRNA from 1 species